UUGUUUUUGUUCUCGCCGCUUCACUUCCAAAUUGGUUCACUUCCAAAUUGGUUCUCAAUACAAACCCUAUAAUUUCACCUGUGAACACAAACAACAACGUUGUCGGUUCACUUUCAAAUGGUGUUUUCGGUGCAAACUCUUAAAUUUUAAUUUCUCUUCUUUCAAUUCUGAUGCAUCUUAUCAUCAAUGUCAUUUCUUCAAUUUUCCAGGUCCGAAGACACAACUUUGUUAAUGAAAUCACUCCUGCAAAGGAUUCAUGUGACAUUGUUGUUCGAGUGAUUCCCUUAUGGUUUGUACCAAAUAUGGAUUCAAAACAAAACAUCUUUGAAAAAUUGGGUAUGCUCUUGACCUUAUGAUUGCUAGGGGAGUGAUGUUGUUUCAAGAUCAACCUGUCAUCCUACACAUGCUAGAUAUUCCUUUUAUAGAUGAGUCAUUUAAUGGAGUCAAGAUAAAGUUGGUUCAUGCCCCUUUUCCUCUUCUCAAUGGUUUGAUAACUUAAACUUGAUAUGGUUUUGUUAACUUGAUAUGGUUUUGUUAUUCACUGGUUUUAUGCUAUGUUUUUGAUAUUAUUAUAUAGCUUAACUAGUAACAA